AUUGAACGCUGGCGGAAUGCUUUACACAUGCAAGUCGAACGGCAGCACGGACUUCGGUCUGGUGGCGAGUGGCGAACGGGUGAGUAAUGUAUCGGAACGUGCCCAGUCGUGGGGGAUAACGUAGUGAAAAUUACGCUAAUACCGCAUACGAUCUAUGGAUGAAAGCGGGGGAUCGCAAGACCUCGCGCGAUUGGAGCGGCCGAUAUCAGAUUAGGUAGUUGGUGGGGUAAAGGCCCACCAAGCCAACGAUCUGUAGCUGGUCUGAGAGGACGACCAGCCACACUGGAACUGAGACACGGUCCAGGAUCCUACGGGAGGCAGCAGUGGGGAAUUUUGGACAAUGGGCGAAAGCCUGACCCAGCCAUUCCGCGUGCAGGAUGAAGGCCCUCGGGUUGUAAACUGCUUUUGUACAGAACGAAAAGGUUUCUACUAAUACUAGGAGCUCAUGACGGUACUGUAAGAAUAAGCACCGGCUAACUACGUGCCAGCCGCCGCAGUAA
rnacentral:rRNA from 1 species